CUGGCUCAGGAUGAACGCUAGCGACAGGCUUAACACAUGCAAGUCGAGGGGCAUCACGGGAGUAGCAAUACAACUGGUGGCGACCGGCGCACGGGUGAGUAACGCGUAUACAACCUACCUAUCAGAGGGGAAUAACCCGGCGAAAGUCGGACUAAUACCGCAUAAAACAGGGGCACCGCAUGGUGAUAUUUGUUAAAGAAAUUCGCUGAUAGAUGGGCAUGCGUUCCAUUAGGUAGUUGGUGAGGUAACGGCUCACCAAGCCGACGAUGGAUAGGGGAACUGAGAGGUUGGUCCCCCACACUGGUACUGAGACACGGACCAGACUCCUACGGGAGGCAGCAGUGAGGAAUAUUGGUCAAUGGGCGGGAGCCUGAACCAGCCAAGUCGCGUGAAGGAAGAAGGAUCUAUGGUUCGUAAACUUCUUUUGCAGGGGAAUAAAGUGCAGGACGUGUCCUGUUUUGUAUGUACCCUGAGAAUAAGGAUCGGCUAACUCCGUGCCAGCCGCCGC
rnacentral:rRNA from 1 species